CGCUGCUUGCUGGGCUGGUGCUGGCUGCUCGUGCCGUCCGGCCGUCCCUGCUCUGCUGGAGUGCUGGACGCUCGGAGAGGCGGAGAGCAGACGCCGGCAGAGACGCAGAGGGCAGACCGUGUCCUCUCUCCACUGUCCAGUGAUCCAGUCUCCUCCGGCCUCCGCGGCCGUGGGUGCACGGAGCCGGACAGCCGAUCAGCCGGCCGCGAGCCCGCCGCGAGGACAAAGGAGGCCGCCGGACCGGAGCCUGGAGACUGGAGAGCCAGCCGCCAGAGCCGAGGUAUCCUGUUGCCGGCUUGCCGCUGUUGGAUCUAGCGGCCAGGAGGGCGAUUUGGUGCCGUUGCCGUACUGCCGUGAGCCAAGAGUGACUGCUGUUGGCGCUCGGCGAUUGGGCCCAUAUUGCCAUACACUGUCUCUAUGGAGCUGAAGUGUUAUGUAUUGGCAGCGUGACUGGUACUUGACAAUACUCUAGAUUACCGAACAACAGUUUGAGCCAGGGAUUAUAGCCAAAAGGGAUUAUACCCCCAAGGGGUUCAAGUGAUAAAGAGGGGAUUAACUCAAUCCCUCCUGGAUUCAAUACCUCUCUGGAAUAAAAACCUGUAAACCGAACAUGCCCCUAGGGAAGUAAUCCAUUGCAAACGAACAUGCCCUCAGGGUUUACUAUUGUGUCCGCUCCCACCGGGUCUGCGCAUCAGAGACCGACAAGACUGGGAAAUCCAGAGAUGCAUUUUUCUACCGAUCAGCUGAUCGGCUCGGCGUUCAUUGCCUUUGGGCUCACAUUGUUCGUGUGUUUCUUCUACGUUGCCGUCGUGUCCAAGCUGCUUCCGCCACAUCAAAAUGGAUUCCUGGCCGCCAUCCAAAACGACUGGUAUUACUGUCUGCUUGUGCCGUUGACGCUUCCUGUAAUAAUCGUGGCUGUCUACCUGCACUGGCUCAGCAUGAAGAUGUUCAAGCACGCAUGAAGCAGUCAUGCAGCUUCCUUCCGGUUUCAGAAUCCUGGUCAAAAUCGAGGAGUGUAGCACCAAUUAGUUCGAGUGAUGUCUCUCUGCCCACAUCAUCAUUAGAUCUCCCAGAUGUUGCAGAUCUCUUUGCUCCCCCUGCAGACAAUGCAUCAAGGAAGAGGGAAUCAAAUGGGUCUGCUCUUCAUGACUCGCGCAAUAAAUUUCCAAGGAUGCAAUCACAAUCCCAAGGCAUAGGAAGUGCUGCAGGGAACGCCCUAAUUCCACCGCAGCUUCGUGGAAGGAGCAAUGUUGUUACCGAAGACAUGAGCAAACUCUUUGUGGCUAAACGAAAAGAGUAGCAUCUUAACCUUUUCUGGACCUGAACCUCUGUUUGGACUCCAUAGACUGAUAAACGCAUGUACUGAGUGCAAUGGAUGUGCCGGCAUGAUCCAAGGUUGUUGCUGAAUCCUAAAGAACCGGACGAAGGAUGCUAACGGUAGGACGACCUGGUCUCUUAGCCUACCGUGGGCUGUUGUCAGAUGUCAAAAAUGCCCUCUUAGAAGUUUAGAACAUUUCUUUGGUGCUCACUCGCGUUUCAUGUUCAACGGUGCUACAUGACUGGUGCUGGAUGCAUGUAAACUCUGCAACCCUAUCAUGUCAUGGCAGCUAGAUGCUACUACGUCUAUCUUUUGGUCGGUGAUUACAACCAUGUAUUACGUCUAGUAGUGGUAAUAGAUCGCGAUCCAAAUGCUUCUUAAUAAAAUAGUAGAACUCUAAAUAAUUUUAGUUAAAAAAUGAAUAGAAAUAAGAUUCUGAUUU